UCCACAGAGUGUGGUGUGAGACAGUGACAAGUCUCACGCAGGGUAGAGGCAAGGAAGGGGUGGAUAGUUCGGUCCACACCCCUAUUCCACCACAGACGAGACCAGCUGGAAGUAGCCAGUCUGGCACAAAGCACCUCUCAGGGUGUCAGCAAGGGGGGAGUAAUGUUGCCUGUGGACAGAGGCCUGGAGGCUUUGUGUGGUCCAAGCCAGGAAGACUGAGAAACCACUAUUCCCCAUGUGUGCUGAGACACUGGACUGGAGACAGU